rnacentral:lncRNA from 1 species
CCGCGGGGACUCCUGCCGCCGACCAACGAGGGUACGCCGCGCCCAAGCCGCUCCUCUGGAUGGCGACAGAGACGGCCUGGCGCGCCUGCAGCCUGGGCCCCCCAGCGGGGAGGACGGCUGGCCAGGUGAAGUUCCUGCACUUGGGCCUUCCGCGUUCCCAUCCACUGCAGCCAGGGCCUGGAAGGCUGGGGAAGGGACGGGGGCGGCAGACGCCUCCUAAGGAUCACUCUACUCGGGCACCUCUGCCACUGCCCCGUGCUUGCCCUCCUGGUUCAUCUCCCUGGAGUCCCUGCAGGACCAGCUGUCGGUGGCGUCUCUGGGCUCCCAGUCCCGGGACUGGUCCUAUCGAGGUGCCUCUCAUCUACAUAACUGAAGGCUGCACCCAGGGCUGUAAAGAGUGAAAAUGCAUCACCAAAGCAUGGGCACCUCCUGCAGUUCUCCGUAGACGUUUGGGAAGCGAGUGAACUGCCCUGUGUUUGGAGGAGGUCAGAAGGUGUUGGGCCUGAGCCAUGGGCUGCCCUGGGCCUGUGUCGGGUGGUGCAUCCCAGAGGAAUGAAGCAGGAAGGGCAUGCACAUGGGGUCUUGGCAGCCCUGGACCUGGCCUAGACGCAGCAGCCUCCUGGUAAAGCGAAAAUGUUCCAUUGGCUUGCCAUGCUUUGCUUAGCCACCCGCACUUCACGGUUGGACAAAAAGAAGAUUUUAAAGAACAGCCUUGCCAGAUAUCAGAGUUGGGGAUUUGGGGUCCAUAAUAGAAGAAAGUAACAUGAAUUGCUUUCAACACAUCAAUCAGCAAAGAGCAUUGAUGGAUGAAGAGGACAUUGAUAAAUGGGAUGUCCUCUUGCUGAAACUCUGACUUACAGUAAAGCGGGGAAACCCACAGAAGCCCAGUGGAAGUUUCUGGAGCCAGGAGCUGCACUGACUCUCUCCGUGGAGGGUGUGGAGGGGUAGGCGGCUGUUAGCCUCCAGCCCAG